AUCUAGCUGACGAGUCCUGAAUAGGACGAAACACACGUCCUAAAU
rfam:Schistosoma rodhaini strain Burundi genome assembly, scaffold: SROB_scaffold0002660